UGGGGGAUAUUGCACAAUGGGCGAAAGCCUGAUGCAGCGACGCCGCGUGGGGGAUGAAGGCCUUCGGGUUGUAAACUUCUUUUGCUCUGAACAAGGCAUGCUAAUGGGUGUGUUGAGUGUAGGGGUUGAUUAGCGCCGGCUAACUACGUGCCAGCAGCCGCGGUAAUACGUAGGGCGCGAGCGUUGUCCGGAAUUAUUGGGCGUAAAGGGCUUGUAGGUGGCUGGUUGCGUCUGUCGUGAAAGCUCAUGGCUUAACUGUGGGUUUGCGGUGGGUACGGGCUGGCUUGAGAGCAGUAGGGGAGGCUGGAAUUCCUGGUGUAGCGGUGGAAUGCGCAGAUAUCAGGAGGAAUACCGGUGGCGAAGGCGGGUCUCUGGGCUGUUACUGACACUGAAGAGCGAAAGCAUGGGGAGCGAACAGG
rnacentral:rRNA from 1 species